UUGAAGAAAUAGUAAAUCAUCCCUCAACUGGGGUACUAACCAUCAAGUAUGAAACAGAAACAGCCUCUACACAAGCCUCUCCUCAGCAGGCCCAGCUGUCAUCGUCACUUGAUUCUACAUCACCACCCCGACAGGUGAAAGAAAUGUAUGCCAGAGGAAUUCCCCUAUCUCAGUGACCCGUACUCUAAAAACGGCUAUGAGCAUUUCUACGACGGUGAGAGUGGCACUGGGUACUUGGCCUGGAGGAUUAAAACUAUCCAGA